rnacentral:rRNA from 1 species
GGACGAACGCUGGCGGCGUGCCUAAUACAUGCAAGUCGAACGAACUCUGGUAUUGAUUGGUGCUUGCAUCAUGAUUUACAUUUGAGUGAGUGGCGAACUGGUGAGUAACACGUGGGAAACCUGCCCAGAAGCGGGGGAUAACACCUGGAAACAGAUGCUAAUACCGCAUAACAACUUGGACCGCAUGGUCCGAGUUUGAAAGAUGGCUUCGGCUAUCACUUUUGGAUGGUCCCGCGGCGUAUUAGCUAGAUGGUGGGGUAACGGCUCACCAUGGCAAUGAUACGUAGCCGACCUGAGAGGGUAAUCGGCCACAUUGGGACUGAGACACGGCCCAAACUCCUACGGGAGGCAGCAGUAGGGAAUCUUCCACAAUGGACGAAAGUCUGAUGGAGCAACGCCGCGUGAGUGAAGAAGGGUUUCGGCUCGUAAAACUCUGUUGUUAAAGAAGAACAUAUCUGAGAGUAACUGUUCAGGUAUUGACGGUAUUUAACCAGAAAGCCACGGCUAACUACGUGCCAGCAGCCGCGGUAAUACGUAGGUGGCAAGCGUUGUCCGGAUUUAUUGGGCGUAAAGCGAGCGCAGGCGGUUUUUUAAGUCUGAUGUGAAAGCCUUCGGCUCAACCGAAGAAGUGCAUCGGAAACUGGGAAACUUGAGUGCAGAAGAGGACAGUGGAACUCCAUGUGUAGCGGUGAAAUGCGUAGAUAUAUGGAAGAACACCAGUGGCGAAGGCGGCUGUCUGGUCUGUAACUGACGCUGAGGCUCGAAAGUAUGGGUAGCAAACAGGAUUAGAUACCCUGGUAGUCCAUACCGUAAACGAUGAAUGCUAAGUGUUGGAGGGUUUCCGCCCUUCAGUGCUGCAGCUAACGCAUUAAGCAUUCCGCCUGGGGAGUACGGCCGCAAGGCUGAAACUCAAAGGAAUUGACGGGGGCCCGCACAAGCGGUGGAGCAUGUGGUUUAAUUCGAAGCUACGCGAAGAACCUUACCAGGUCUUGACAUACUAUGCAAAUCUAAGAGAUUAGACGUUCCCUUCGGGGACAUGGAUACAGGUGGUGCAUGGUUGUCGUCAGCUCGUGUCGUGAGAUGUUGGGUUAAGUCCCGCAACGAGCGCAACCCUUAUUAUCAGUUGCCAGCAUUAAGUUGGGCACUCUGGUGAGACUGCCGGUGACAAACCGGAGGAAGGUGGGGAUGACGUCAAAUCAUCAUGCCCCUUAUGACCUGGGCUACACACGUGCUACAAUGGAUGGUACAACGAGUUGCGAACUCGCGAGAGUAAGCUAAUCUCUUAAAGCCAUUCUCAGUUCGGAUUGUAGGCUGCAACUCGCCUACAUGAAGUCGGAAUCGCUAGUAAUCGCGGAUCAGCAUGCCGCGGUGAAUACGUUCCCGGGCCUUG